rnacentral:rRNA from 1 species
GUGGGGAAUCUUGCGCAAUGGGCGAAAGCCUGACGCAGCAACGCCGCGUGCGGGAUGAAGGCCUUCGGGUUGUAAACCGCUUUCAGCAGGGACGAAAAUGACGGUACCUGCAGAAGAAGCUCCGGCUAACUACGUGCCAGCAGCCGCGGUAAUACGUAGGGAGCAAGCGUUGUCCGGAUUUAUUGGGCGUAAAGAGCUCGUAGGCGGUUUCGUAAGUCGAGUGUGAAAAAUCUGGGCUUAACCCAGUGGAGCACUCGAUACUGCGAUGACUUGAGUCUGGUAGAGGGGUGUGGAAUUCCUGGUGUAGCGGUGAAAUGCGCAGAUAUCAGGAGGAACACCAACGGCGAAGGCAGCACUCUGGGCCAGUACUGACGCUGAGGAGCGAAAGCGUGGGGAGCAAACAGGAUUAGAAACCCGGGUAGUCC